UUUGAAAAAUAAUGUGUUGUUGUGUUUAUAUAUUACUCCAAACAUGCCCCACUUUCCAAAAAAAUGUGAAUUUUCCAUGAAAUUUGACACUUUAUUUAUGAUUUUCGCCUUGGCGGCAUCCUUUACCAGUCUUAAUAUUUUAACCACUACUUCGUACAUGAAAAACCAACAAAAAGUGCAAAAAUCAUCGCUGGUGAGCAAUGCCGCCAUAUUCAAAAACGAAAAAAACGUCCGUCUCAGAGACACAUUUUUAUCCGAAAUUACACAAGCCUCGAUUUCGGUAAAAUGACGUUGAAGUUGAUGUCACUUAAUUAGAUAUUUGUUUUCAUUAAUUUGUUUUUCAAGCAACAGCCAUUAGAGCUAGUGUUAAAAUCAAUAAUAUCGGACGAAGAUUUUUAAGUUUAAACGUUUCAACAUUUAGUGAAAUAUCACAAACCUAAUGGGUGAAUUAGUGAAUUGUUUCCCUUUGAAAUCAACACGCCAUUAUCGGUGGAUACAUGUCUGAAACUGGGUCAGAGAAUACAUGCAGUUAUUGCUCUGAAUAUACGCGGAUAUUUAAAGUGCAUGGCGGAUUUAAUAAUUGUUAUGGAUAACCUCCAGCAGUAAGAAAUAUAAAGGCUCACUGCAGUUUUGAGUGCUCAACAAGUAUUGACCCCACACUAUGCUCAGCAAAUAGGGCCCUUGUAUUUCUGUGAAUCCUCAUGCAGUACAGUACUGCUGUUGGAAGAGGAGCAAACAGUGUGGUAUCUAUGGUCCACCAUCACUUAAGCAUCAUGGCUAUGGAGAAAAGAAUGUUUCAUUACAUAUGGACAAUUAUAGUGGACAAAAUAAGAAAAGUGUUGUAAUAAGCUAUGGAAUGUGUCUUGUUAUGAUGGGUCUACAUGAUGACUUGGAGUACAACCUGAUUGAGGCCCGGCAUACAGAAUUCAGUCCUGAACAUGUUUAGAAUGUCUUCUGCAUGACCUGGUAUAGAUAGUAUUCUUGAAGGAUUAUAACUUCAACACAGAGACGGAGAUUAAUAUUUUUAGGCAGGGGGUUGGCAAGACAGGCAAAUUCACCAACCGUAUUACCAUUCCUGAGCUGGAUACCAGUCGACAGUGGUACCUGUAUAAUGAAAUAGCGCCCCUUUGCAGCAACAGCAGUGUAUGCUCAAAACCAGCAGUGUCAAAGCCAUUGAAAUUGAUAAUUCAAGUCAUUUAAAACGAAGAAUGAAUGGAAAAAAGUGUUUAACAUUUAAAGUAAUACAGAGAAAGAGCUCUGAAAUUUUGAUUAAUUUGAAAGCGUUUUUGAUUUUUUGAAGAUGCACUAGACCCAAAUUCCAUAUAUUUGAAAAAGAACAAAUGAUACAUAUAGUUUAUGUAAACAUUGAAUUAACAACUUUAUGGUGUCAGCAGUACUAUGCAUUUGUUAAAUAUUGACUCACUAUAUACAUGUAAGGCUGAACACAGUAUAAAUGUGAAAUUCCUCUAAAAUACUGGAAGAUUUUUCAACAAUAAUUGUAACAUAUAUGGUAGUAAUGUACAUUUUUUUUCAUUACGACAGUUGGAUUAUAUAGAUCUACGAAUAUUUUCUGCUGUAUUCAAACUGCAUGUAAUCAUUUCUGUCGGCAGUAUCAUGUUUUUUUCCCAUUUUCAUGAACAAUUAAUUUAACCUGUCUUGAAAGCACAAUAUAUGUAUAAUUUGUAAAACAUACAUUACUGUGUGUUAAAUGAGAUUAUGUAGUAUUAUGUUUACGGAAUUAACUGCGUAACCAUGGAAACAUUUUUCUGUUGUUCUAUAUUAUGUCUUGAAAAAAACAUUGUUUGAAGAACACUUUUCAGUGGUGCAUUUUUUUAAAUUUUUACAUGUAAUGGUAAAUGCUGAAAGUGUUCUACAAUAACUUAGCAAAAACGUCAUUGUUGUCUCAUUGAAGCAUAUACUGCAACUCCAUUGUAACCAUAGCAACAGAAAUAUAUUGUAUUAUUUAUGAAUAAUGAUCUUCACAAACAAAUUACAUAUGUUAUUUUUCUUAAAGAAUGACCUAAAUUGGUUUUAUUCCAUAAAAAACAGACAUAGCAAAUAUUCUCAUUUUUAUCUCCGUUUCCAUGGCAACCAUAUAUUGUUUUUGCCUCAAAUUAUAGGCGUUGCUUAGGGUUAUAUCUUAGCAUAUCUGAAUGUUAAUUAUACGUUCUGAUGUAAUUGUUAUAAGAGAUUUUCGUGUUUCCAUAAAGAAAAUCAAUCGGUUGCCAUGGCAACAGCACAAUUUCAAAUGAAUUAAAAUAUGAGAUUUUGCA